GCUAACGCUGGCGGCGUGUCUUAGCCAUGCAAGUCGAGCGGACUUAUGGGGUAACUUAUAAGUCAGCGGCGGACGGCGGAGUAACACGUAGCUAACCUACCCUCUGGACGGGGAUAACCUAACCGAAAGGUGGGCUAAUACCCGAUGUAGUCAUCCUGUAUAGGGGUGAUGAAAGGUGGGCUUCUGUUUACAAGCUCAUGCUGGAGGGAGGGGGCGUGCGGCCUAUCAGGUAGUUGGUAGGGUAAUAGCCUACCAAGCCGAUGACGGGUAGCCGGCCUGAGAGGGUGACCGGCCCGAGGGGCACUGAGAUACGGGUCCCACUCCUACGGGAGGCAGCAGGCUAGAAAUUUGGGCAAUGGGGGAAACCCUGACCCAGUGACGCCGCGUGCAGGAAGGAGCCCUUCGGGGUGUAAACUGCUGUCGUGUAGGGAGAAGGGUACUAAGGUGAACAAUCUUAGUACUUGACGGUACUACAGGAGGAAGCCCAGGCUAACCUCGUG
rnacentral:rRNA from 1 species